UACAGAGGUCUCAAGCGUUGUUCGGAUUCAUUGGGCGUAAAGGGUGCGUAGGCGGCGCGGUAAGUCGGGUGUGAAAUCUCGGAGCUUAACUCCGAGACUGCAUUCGAUACUGCGGUGCUUGAGGACUGGAGAGGAGACUGGAAUUUACGGUGUAGCAGUGAAAUGCGUAGAUAUCGUAAGGAAGACCAGUGGCGAAGGCGGGUCUCUGGACAGUUCCUGACACUGAGACACGAAGGCCAGGGGAGCAAACGGG
rnacentral:rRNA from 1 species